CAGUCGCCGCGGGAAUACGUAGGGUGCGAGCGUUAAUCGGAAUUACUGGGCGUAAAGCGUGCGCAGGCGGUUCGUUAAAACAGAUGUGAAAUCCCCGGGCUUAACCUGGGAACUGCAUUUGUGACUGGCGAGCUAGAGUAUGGCAGAGGGGGGUAGAAUUCCACGUGUAGCAGUGAAAUGCGUAGAGAUGUGGAGGAAUACCGAUGGCGAAGGCAGCCCCCUGGGCCAAUACUGACGCUCAUGCACGAAAGCGUGGGGAGCAAACAGGAUUAGAUACCCGCGUAGUCCCUGUCUCUUAUAC
rnacentral:rRNA from 1 species